UGUUAGCCACACAAGUGUUCGGCCUCUAUGAGUAUCUACUCAGGAUCAAUCUGGAACAGUCCUCUAUAAUCUAAAUUUUGAAUCUCCAAAAUUCAGCCUGCUGAAUCUGAACGAAGUCUGAAUCGUGAUCAACACUUGAUCUUUCUCCUUGAUCUUCUUCUUCUUCUCUUCUCUAGAGUUUCUCCUUGCUAUGUGCUGCUAUCAGAUGCUAGAAACC
rnacentral:lncRNA from 1 species